rnacentral:rRNA from 1 species
UGCGAGUCAUUGUAGUAAUACAAGGCAGACGGCUCAGUAACGCGUAGUCAACCUAACCUAUGGACGGGAAUAACCUCGGGAAACUGAGUAUAAUGCCCGAUAGAACAUUAUGCCUGGAAUGGUUUAUGUUCCAAAUGAUUUAUCGCCGUAGGAUGGGACUGCGGCCUAUCAGUUUGUUGGUGAGGUAAUGGCCCACCAAGACUAUUACAGGUACGGGCUCUGAGAGGAGUGGCCCGGAGAUGGGUACUGAGACACGGACCCAGGCCCUAUGGGGCGCAGCAGGCGAGAAAACUUUGCAAUGUGCGAAGGCACGACAAGGUUAAUCCGAGUGGUUUCUGCUAAAGGAACCUUUUGUCGGUCCUAGAAACACCGAUGAAUAAGGGGUGGGCAAGUUCUGGUGUCAGCCGCCGCGGUAAAACCAGCACCUCAAGUGGUCAGGAUGAUUAUUGGGCCUAAAGCAUCCGUAGCCGGCUUUGUUAGUUUUCGGUUAAAUCUGUACGCUUAACGUACAGGCUGCCGGGAAUACUGCAGAGCUAGGGAGUGGGAGAGGUAGACGGUACUCGGUAGGAAGGGGUAAAAUCCUUUGAUCCAUUGAUGACCACCUGUGGCGAAGGCGGUCUACCAGAACACGUCCCGACGGUGAGGGAUGAAAGCUGGGGGAGCAAACCGGAUUAGAUACCCGGGUAGUCCCAGCUGUAAACUAUGCAAACUCAGUGAUGCAUUGGCUUGUGGCCAAUGCAGUGCUGCAGGGAAGCCGUUAAGUUUGCCGCCUGGGAAGUACGUACGCAAGUAUGAAACUUAAAGGAAUUGGCGGGGG